UAGCUCAGUUGGGAGAGCGUUAGACUGAAGAUCUAAAGGCUUCAGCUUUCCUGAAAGGUUCACAUCCUUCAGG